rnacentral:snRNA from 1 species
GUACUCACUUGGCAGCACAUCUACUAAAAUUGGAAUGAUGCAGAGAUUACAUUGGCCAUGGCAGAAGAGUGACAUGCAAAUUUGUAAAACUUUCAAUUUAUAA